rnacentral:rRNA from 1 species
GAUGAACGCUGGCGGCGUGCCUAAUACAUGCAAGUCGAGCGAACAGACGAGGAGCUUGCUCCUCUGACGUUAGCGGCGGACGGGUGAGUAACACGUGGAUAACCUACCUAUAAGACUGGGAUAACUUCGGGAAACCGGAGCUAAUACCGGAUAAUAUAUUGAACCGCAUGGUUCAAUAGUGAAAGACGGUUUUGCUGUCACUUAUAGAUGGAUCCGCGCCGCAUUAGCUAGUUGGUAAGGUAACGGCUUACCAAGGCAACGAUGCGUAGCCGACCUGAGAGGGAGACAGGCAACCCGUGAACAGAGGAGCGCACCAGUACCCAGCGGGCGGAAGCACGUGGGACUCGCCCGCAAAGGGCGCAAGACGGGCGGAGGAAGGGCGCAGGGGGGAUGAAUCGAUGCGAUAAAUAACACGCGGUUAUAAGAGCAAAACAAAUGUGUAAGUAACGGUGCACGGCGUGACCGUAGAUACUCAAAAACCCCCGGCUUCAUCCGAGCCCGCACCGUAGAUAAUAGCUCACAAGAGC